ACAUUAAAAUCAGAUUAUGAGUGUAUUAAAUCAAAAUGGAUUUCUCUUGAACUUAGACUUGCGAGAACACCUCAACCCAAGGAGGAAUAUGAUAGGGCCAUAAGAUCAUACAAAGAGUUGGGAUUUGCCCGCCCGGAAGGUCACUCACAAAGAACUUCAAGAAUUUUGUUAUGGUUCUCAGUAUUAUUCCCCUCAUCAUCCUGUGAUCCAUAGUUGCGGAAUUUGUUGAAUGGCUGUCUUUUAAAUGGCUCGUGACUUCAACUCCAUAUUGGACAAAUUUUACUUCGCUUUUGAUUAAAUAAAAUUGUGAUUAUGGUUGAUAUAGAGAAAAUAUUUUGUCGUACAAAGAUUAUUCUGAAUGAUUAUCGUUUUCAACAAUAUCUUUGGAGGUACAACAAUCCUCAUGUGGAUCCUCAUUAUGACGUCCGUUAUAAAUGGAGUGAAGUCUUCGCCAUUCCAUGAGUCCAACAUCUUCAAGUUCAGAAUAUGGGAAAAACUGUUGGAAAAAUCGCACAAAUGAAAUUGAUGUUAACGAUGUUGUCCUCAUUUCGGUGGACAGCAUACUUCAAAAGGACUGGCCCAUGGCUCGAGUCACUGAGAAAAUUAUAGGUCAUGAUGGGAAAGUCCGUACCUUGAAAUUAAGAACUGCUAAUGGAAAAAAUGCAAUCCAACUUAAUAUUUUCAUCCGCUACCGGGCCCAUCAUUAUGAACCAGUCGCUCUCCGAGAACAUCACUCCAAAAGUGCUGAACACUAAUCCUACUGCUGCCUUAGAGAGGGGGAUUACUGUAGGCCAACUCUAGAAUAGAUGGUGAGAGGACUCAAGUUCGAAUUUACGAUAGUUGCAUUAUUUCUCAAGCAGGUUCGAUGUAUUAUUAUUUGUAAAUAAGGAGGCUGUAGCUAUUAAUAGAGAACCCACUUUUGUUUUGAGUUUGUGAAGGGAA
rnacentral:lncRNA from 1 species